rnacentral:rRNA from 1 species
UGGGGAAUUUUGGACAAUGGGGGAAACCCUGAUCCAGCCAUCCCGCGUGUGCGAUGAAGGCCUUCGGGUUGUAAAGCACUUUUGGCAGGAAAGAAACGUCAUGGGUUAAUACCCCGUGAAACUGACGGUACCUGCAGAAUAAGCACCGUCUAACUACGUGCCAGCAGCCGCGGUAAUACGUAGGGUGCAAGCGUUAAUCGGAAUUACUGGGCGUAAAGCGUGCGCAGGCGGUUCGGAAAGAAAGAUGUGAAAUCCCAGAGCUCAACUUUGGAACUGCAUUUUUAACUACCGGGCUAGAGUGUGGCAGAGGGAGGUGGAAUUCCGCGUGUAGCAGUGAAAUGCGUAGAUAUGCGGAGGAACACCGAUGGCGAAGGCAGCCUCCUGGGAUAACACUGACGCUCAUGCACGAAAGCGUGGGGAGCAAACAGG